UACGCACGCUGGCGGCGUGCUUAACACAUGCAAGUCGAACGGAAAGGCCCUGCUUUUGUGGGGUGCUCGAGUGGCGAACGGGUGAGUAACACGUGAGUAACCUGCCCUUGACUUUGGGAUAACUUCAGGAAACUGGGGCUAAUACCGGAUAGGAGCUCCUGCUGCAUGGUGGGGGUUGGAAAGUUUCGGCGGUUGGGGAUGGACUCGCGGCCUAUCAGCUUGUUGGUGGGGUAGUGGCUUACCAAGGCUUUGACGGGUAGCCGGCCUGAGAGGGUGACCGGCCACAUUGGGACUGAGAUGCGGCACAGACUCCUACGGGAGGCAGCAGUGGGGUAUAUUGCAUUAUGGGCUGAAGCCUGAUGCAGCAACGCCGCGUGCGGUAUGACGGCCUUCGGUUUGUAAACCGCUUUCGCCUGUGACGAAGCGUGAGUGACGGUAAUGGGUAAAGAAGCACCGGCUAACUACGUG
rnacentral:rRNA from 1 species